rnacentral:rRNA from 1 species
UAAGGAAUAUUGGUCAAUGGACGCAAGUCUGAACCAGCCAUGCCGCGUGAAGGAUGAAGGUCCUCUGGAUUGUAAACUUCUUUUAUAUGGGACGAAACCCGGGAAUUCCUUCCCGAUUGACGGUACCAUAAGAAUAAGCACCGGCUAACUCCGUG